UCUGAUCCAUGAUGACUUCCAAACACAUGUGGACUGUUGGAUGAAGCAUGCGGAUAUGGGACUGAGAUCAGAC
rnacentral:snoRNA from 12 species